rnacentral:rRNA from 1 species
GUCAUAUGCUUGUCUCAAAGAUUAAGCCAUGCAUGUCUCAGUACAAGCCAAAUUAAGGUGAAACCGCGAAAGGCUCAUUAAAUCAGUUAUGGUUCCUUAGAUCGUACCCACAAUUACUUGGAUAACUGUGGUAAUUCUAGAGCUAAUACAUGCAAACAGAGCUCCGACCGGAGACGGAAGGAGUGCUUUUAUUAGAUCAAAACCAAUCGGUGGCGGGUUCGCUCGUCAUCGUACAACUUGGUGACUCUGAAUAACUUUACGCUGAUCGCACGGUCAUCGCACCGGCGACGCAUCUUUCAAAUGUCUGCCUUAUCAACUGUCGAUGGUAGGUUCGCGCCUACCAUGGUUGUAACGGGUAACGGGGAAUCAGGGUUCGAUUCCGGAGAGGGAGCCUGAGAAACGGCUACCACAUCCAAGGAAGGCAGCAGGCGCGCAAAUUACCCACUCCCGGCACGGGGAGGUAGUGACGAAAAAUAACGAUACGGGACUCAUCCGAGGCCCCGUAAUCGGAAUGAGUACACUCUAAACCCUUUAACGAGGAUCAAUUGGAGGGCAAGUCUGGUGCCAGCAGCCGCGG